rnacentral:rRNA from 1 species
ACUGAACGCUGGCGGCAUGCCUUACACAUGCAAGUCGAACGGCAGCGGACCUUCGGGUGCCGGCGAGUGGCGAACGGGUGAGUAAUAUAUCGGAACGUACCUUUCAGGUGGGGGAUAACGUAGCGAAAGUUACGCUAAUACCGCAUAUUCUGUGAGCAGGAAAGCAGGGGAUCGCAAGACCUUGCGCUGAUUGAGCGGCCGAUAUCAGAUUAGCUAGUUGGUGAGGUAAAGGCUCACCAAGGCGACGAUCUGUAGCGGGUCUGAGAGGAUGAUCCGCCACACUGGAACUGAGACACGGUCCAGACCUCCUACGGGAGGCAGCAGUGGGGAAUUUUGGACAAUGGGCGCAAGCCUGAUCCAGCCAUGCCGCGUGAGUGAAGAAGGCCU